rnacentral:rRNA from 1 species
UACGAAGGGGGCUAGCGUUGUUCGGAAUUACUGGGCGUAAAGCGCACGUAGGCGGGUUGUUAAGUCAGGGGUGAAAUCCUGGAGCUCAGCUCCAGAACUGCCUUUGAUACUGGCAACCUAGAGACUGGAAGAGGUUAGUGGAAUUCCCAGUGUAGAGGUGAAAUUCGUAGAUAUUGGGAAGAACACCAGUGGCGAAGGCGGCUAACUGGUCCAGCACUGACGCUGAGGUGCGAAAGCGUGGGGAGCAAACAGG